rnacentral:tRNA from 1 species
GGGGUUGUGGCUUAGAGUGGCAGAGCGCUCGCCUAGCACGUGUGAGGCCCUGGGUUCGAUCCUCAGCACCA